rnacentral:rRNA from 1 species
UGGGGAAUAUUGGACAAUGGGGGCAACCCUGAUCCAGCCAUGCCGCGUGAGUGAUGAAGGCCUUCGGGUUGUAAAACUCUUUUAGGUGGGAAGAUAAUGACGGUACCACCAGAAAAAGCUCCGGCUAACUUCGUGCCAGCAGCCGCGGUAAUACGAAGGGAGCUAGCGUUGUCCGGAAUUACUGGGCGUAAAGCGCACGCAGGCGGCGAUCCAAGUCAGAGGUGAAAGCCCGGGGCUUAACCCCGGAACUGCCUUUGAAACUGGAUUGCUAGAGUAUGACAGGGGAUAGCGGAAUUCCGAGUGUAGAGGUGAAAUUCGUAGAUAUUCGGAGGAACACCGAUGGCGAAGGCAGCUAUCUGGGUCAUGACUGACGCUCAUGUGCGAAAGCGUGGGGAUCAAA